rnacentral:rRNA from 1 species
UACGGAGGGUGCAAGCGUUAUCCGGAUUCACUGGGUUUAAAGGGUGCGUAGGUGGGUUGAUAAGUCAGUGGUGAAAUCCCCGAGCUUAACUUGGGAACUGCCAUUGAUACUAUUGAUCUUGAAUACCGUGGAGGUCAGCGGAAUAUGUCAUGUAGCGGUGAAAUGCUUAGAUAUGACAUAGAACACCAAUUGCGAAGGCAGCUCACUAAGCAAAUAUUGACGCUGAGGCACGAAAGCGUGGGGAUCAAACAGG